GGGGCCUUAGCUCAGCUGGGAGAGCGCCUGCCUUGCACGCAGGAGGUCACCGGUUCGAUCCCGGUAGGCUCCA
rfam:Halomonas elongata strain HEK1 A8T91_scaf01, whole genome shotgun sequence.